rnacentral:rRNA from 1 species
AAAGGGCGAGUACGGAGCGGCAAACGGGUGAGUAACACGUAGCUAACCUACCCGUCCGAUGGGGAUAACCCUCCGAAAGGGGGGCUAAUACCCGAUAGUCUCCCGGCAUCACAAGAUGCCAGGAGGAAAGGCGCUGGGCGACCGGCGUCGCGGACGGAGGGGGCUGCGGCCCAUCAGCUUGUUGGUGGGGUAAUGGCCCACCAAGGCGAUGACGGGUAGGGGGCCUGAGAGGGUGGCCCCCCACACGGGGACUGAGACACGGCCCCGACUCCUACGGGAGGCAGCAGUGGGGAAUCUUGGGCAAUGCCCGCAAGGGUGACCCAGCGACGUCGCGUGCGGGACGAAGCCCUUCGGGGUGUAAACCGCUUUUCUGGGGGAAGAAUAAGGUGGGGAGGGAAUGCCCUGCUGAUGACGGUACCCCAGGAAUAAGGGACGGCUAACUACGUGCCAGCAGCCGCGGUAAGACGUAGGUCCCGAGCGUUGCCCGGAUUUACUGGGCGUAAAGUGCGCGUAGGCGGUUCGGCAAGUCGCUCGUGAAAGCCCGGGGCUCAACCCCGGGAGGUCGGGCGAAACUGCCGGACUAGAGAACGGCAGAGGAGGGUGGAGCGGCCGGAGUAGCGGUGAAAUGCGUAGAUACCGGCCGAAAUCCCGAUGGCGAAGGCAACCCUCUGGGCCGGUCCUGACGCUGAGGCGCGAAAGCGUGGGGAGCGAACCGGAUUAGAUACCCGGGUAGUCCACGCCCUAAACGAUGCGGGCUAGGUGUCGGCCCGGACCUGGGUCGGUGCCGCAGCUAACGCGUUAAGCCCGCCGCCUGGGCAGUACGGCCGCAAGGCUGAAACUCAAGGGAAUUGACGGGGUCCCACACAAGCGGUGGAGCAUGUGGUUUAAUUCGAUGCUAAACGAAGAACCUUACCCGGGCUUGACAUGCCAGUGGUACUGACCCGAAAGGGAAGGGACCCCGGGCCGAAAGGCGCCGGGGAGCUGGCACAGGUGCUGCAUGGCUGUCGUCAGCUCGUGCCGUGGGGUGUUGGGUUAAGUCCCGGAACGAGCGCAACCCCUGCCGCCAGUUGCCAGCGGGCCCUGCGGGGCGCCGGGGACUCUGGCGGGACUGCCGGCGAACAGCCGGAGGAAGGAGGGGAUGACGUCAAGUCCUCAUGGCCCUUAUGCCCGGGGCCACACACAUGCUACAGUGCCCGGCACAAUGGGACGCGAAGGGGCGACCCGGAGCAAGUCCCAGCAAAACCGGGCAUGGUUCGGAUUGCAGGCUGCAACUCGCCUGCAUGAAGAGGGAAUCGCUAGUAAUCGCGGGUCAGCCACACCGCGGUGAAUACGUACUUGGGGCUUGUACACACCGCCCGUCACGCCAACCGAGUGGGGGGCACUUGAAGUCGUCUGGAGAGGGCGCCGAGGGUGUCCUCCAUAAGAGGGGCGAAGUCGUAACAAGGUAACCGUAAAUCA